GGGAAGGACAGCUGCCUCGCAGACGGAGGCUUUCCGCCCCGCACGGGACGGCGUUAAGGACUGUUAGCUGUAACGACGGCCGCUGGAAGGAACAAGUCAUCACUAUGCCAGCAUUGCCUCUGGAUAAACUCCAGCUGACAGAAAGAGAUCCCAAGACAGGGAAGCUGAGAACUUUACCGGCACUGCACCCAGAAAUAAAAGCAGAUCGGUCUUUUGUGCUAUACAGACCGCCACCUGUUGUCAGAGACCCUGCUUUAGUGGAAGAAUUCUUGGAGCGAGCAAAAUUCAUUGCAGAUGACCUGAACUGGCUUCUGGCUUUGCCUCAUGACAAAUUUUGGUGCCAGGUAAUAUUUGAUGAGACGCUUCAGAAAUGUCUGGAUUCCUACCUGCGCUAUGCCCCUCGCAAGUUUGAUGCUUUGUUGGAUUGCCAUCCAGAGGUGAACGACAUGCAGAAAUGUCUUCAUCGGAGUGUCUUCCUGACUUUCCUCAGAAUGUCCACUCACAAGGAGUCCAAGGAUCAUUUUAUCACUCCCUCUGUCUUUGGAGAAAUUAUUUACAAUAAUUUCCUGUUCGACAUCCCUAAGAUUCUGGAUCUCUGUGUGCUUUUUGGGAAAGGAAAUGGUCUCCUGCUCCAGAAGAUGAUUGAAAAUAUCUUCACUCAGCAACCAAGUUACUUCAGUGAUCUAGACGAAACUCUGCCCACUGUCCUCCAGGUGUUCAACAAUAUUUUGCAUAAGUGUGGUUUGCAGUGUGAGGGAGCCUCUGCUGAGCCUCAGAAGUUGGAAGAAAAAGUAAAUGUGACUCCAGGGAACAUGCCCCUCCAGGAGCUGAAGGACAUUGUCCUGUACUUAUGUGACACUUGCACGACACUCUGGGCGUUUCUUGAUGUCUUCCCAUUGGCUUGCCAGACCUUCCAAAAACAUGAGUUUUGUUACAGAUUAGCUUCGUUUUAUGAAUUGGCAAUUCCUGAGCUGGAAUCUGCAAUUAAGAAGAGGCAUUAUGAGGAUAACAGUGUUUUCGCUGAUUUGUGGAGGAGAAUUUCACAUUCCAGAAAGAGGAUGAUAGAAGCUUUUCACAUCCUAAUAAACCAAGUCUGUCUGCAACCCAUCUUAGAAAGCAGCCGUGAGAAUAUUCAGCCUUUUAUUGAGCAAUUCCUACAGAUCUUCACUUCAGUGCUUCAGGAAAGGAGAUUUCUCCGUGACUAUGAUGAGCUGUUUCCUGUUGAGGAUGAUGUCAGUCUGCUUCAGCAAGCAUCCUCCACGCUAGAUGAGACCAGGACAGCCUAUAUCCUCCAAGCAGUGGAAAGUGCAUGGGAAGGGGUAGACAGGAGAAAAGCACAAGUCAUUAAAGAUCCAACACCGCUAGCAGCAUCUAAUGGAGCAUCAGCGAUAGUGGAGAGCACUGCCGAGGACAUUGAAGAGCUCGGGGCUGCAUAUGCAUCAGAGGAUGAGUGUGCCGGUGCAGCUGCUGCGCCCAUUGCCAAGGUGUCAGGAGUGGAGCUGGACUCUCUGAUCUCUCAAGUGAAAGACUUGCUGCCAGACCUUGGUGAGGGCUUCAUCCUGGCCUGCCUGGAAGAGUACAGUUACAAUGCAGAGCAAGUGAUCAACAACAUUCUAGAAGAUAAGCUGGUACCAUACUUGGAUAAGCUGGACCGAACAAUGCAAAGACAGCUGAAGCCAGACCCUACUCCUCUAGUCACUUCUCGCUAUAAUGUUUUCCAGAAUGAUGAGUUUGAUGUUUUCAGUAGGGAUUCAGUGGAUGUUUCUCGGAUACAAAAAGGCAAGCGGAGGGAGAAGGACACAACCAGGAGUUUGCUGAAUGACAAACGGCUGGUUGCUGAGCAGAAGGAGCGCUACAGCCAGUACAGUGUGAUUGUGGAGGAGAUUCCUGUGCAGCAAGGAGAAGCUCAACUCUACAAGGAGGACUAUGAGGACGAGUACGAUGACACUUAUGAUGGAAACCAAGUGGGGGCAAAUGAUGCUGACUCAGAUGAUGAGCUGAUCAGUAGGAGGCCGUUCACAAUUCCUCAGGUCUUGAGACCUAAAGGACAGGAGGAAGGAUUGGAGGAAGAGGAAGAGGAUGAAGAGGAGGAGGAAGAAGCUGAAAAGGAAAGAACAAAGGACCAUUUUGUGCAGGACCCAGCUGUACUGCGGGAGAGAGCUGAAGCCAGGCGGCUCACUUACCUUGCGAGGAAAGGGCACAAGCAGGACAGCUCUGCUGUUGUUGGGAAUGUGAAGGGCCAUGGGCAGAACCGGGAAACGGUGCAGGAACGAAGGAAGAAGGAAGCAAACAAAAGCACAAGAGCUAACCAUAAUCGACGAGUCAUGGCUGACAGAAAGCGGAAUAAAGGCAUGAUUCCUUCCUGAAAGACCAGGUGUUGGAUCAUCCCCAGUCCUCUGCUUAGGAGGAGACAGUUGUGCUCCGUUCCCUCGGCACCCCCUUCACUCAGGGGACUGGGUGUCGUGGUUCGGUACCUGGCACUUCAGCUCAUGCGGAAUUGCACGCCCUGCGGGAGGCCUGCCCGUUCAUGGGAAGGAACUGCCCUCCAGGCUGACCCUGACUGCUUUUCAGUUUAUAGAGAUGUGUGUAUGACGGUGGGCUGCACCGCAAUGCAUUGGACAGGCUGCACCAGCCAUUUGUUUCCUUUUGUACUAUUUAUAAUUCUGAGAAUUUUAUUUUCAUACCAGCUCCGUACGCCCUCUCCGCAACUCAAGUGGGCUUCCAGGCUACACAACGGGCAGCUCUGAGAGCAAGGCUUCCCUGGAACAGCCCUCGUGGUUUUCUGCUCCACUGAAAUGCCUUGUUCUGAAGUACAAGUUGAAGGUUGAUAAGAAGAUGCUCAGGCUAUUACCAUUGCCAACAAACACAAAGGAGUUCAGGGCACGCGUUGCAUCACCUCGUCCUGUCCAAGAAGCUGUUCUAUGUCCUGUCCGUGUAACGCGCUGUCCAGGCAGUUAUCAUCCCACCACAGCUCUGCUUUGAAACACAAGGACGACUUGACCCAUCUCAUCGAACGCUCACGCCCGGGGCAGCAGACUCCGCUGUCCUGUACAGCUCUGCGCGUUUGCCCCUUCCUCUGCCAAGGGCUAGAGGGCUACAGACCUGCGGAACGCGAAGCAAACUCAAUCCGUUUUAACCUUCCUGCGUCCCACCGCCUCGGAAACCUUCUCCCCAGCGGCUCCGCAGACCGGAGAAGCCCGAGAACACACCGGGCCC